GGCCUCGGUGGAGCAGCGGUGAUCUAAUUCGACGGUCGUGGGUUCAAAUCCCACCUAGGUCA
rnacentral:tRNA from 1 species